GGCAACAUGGCCGAGUGGUCUAAGGCGCUGGAAUCAGGUUGUAUUCAAAAUAUCGUCCCGUACAAUCCAGUCCGAAAGGGCGCGAGUUCGAAUCUCGCUGUUGUCA